AUACUCCAUAGAUUAGAGACACUGGAAUGUUCUUUAGUCGAAAGUUCCGGCGCCUUAGGAUGGAUCUGCGGUCGAUUAGGUUGUUGUUGGGGUAACGGCCCAACAAGCCUGUAAUCGAUACGGGUUGUGGGAGCAAGAGCCCGGAGAUGGAAUCUGAGACACGAUUCCAGGCCCUACGGGGCGCAGCAGGCGCGAAAACUUUACAAUGCAGGAAACUGUGAUAAGGGAACUCCGAGUGCCCGUAUACGCGGGCUGUCCAGGUGUUUAAAAAUCAUCUGAAGAAAGGGCCGGGCAAGACCGGUGCCAGCCGCCGCGGUAAUACCGGCGGCUCGAGUGGUGGCCACUAUUAUUGGGCUUAAAGCGUCCGUAGCUGGACCGAUAAGUCUCUUGGGAAAUCCGCCGGCUCAACCGGCGGGCGUCUAAGGGAUACUGUUAGUCUAGGGACCGGGAGAGGUGAGAGGUACUCCGGGGGUAGGAGUGAAAUCCUGUAAUCCCCGGGGGACCACCGAUGGCGAAGGCAUCUCACCAGAACGGCUCCGACAGUGAGGGACGAAAGCUGGGGGAGCGAACCGGAUUAGAUACCCGGGUAGUCCCAGCCGUAAACUAUGCGCGUUAGGUGU
rnacentral:rRNA from 1 species